GAUGAACGCUGGCGGCGUGCCUAAUACAUGCAAGUCGAGCGAACAGACGAUGAGCUUGCUCCGCUGACGUUAGCGGCGGACGGGUGAGUAACACGUGGAUAACCUCCCUAUAAGACUGGGAUAACUUCGGGAAACCGGAUCUAAUACCGUAUAAUAUAUUGCACCGCAUGGGUCAUUAGUGAAAUACGGUGUUUCGGUCACUUAUAGAGGGAUCCGCGCCGUAUUAGAUAGUUGUUAAGUUAACGGCUUACCAAGGCAACGCGGCGUAGGCGACCUGAGAGAGUGAUCGGCCACAUUGGAACUGAGACACGGACCCGGCUCCUACGGGAGGCCGCAGUAGGGAAUCUGACGCAAUGGGCGAAAGCCUGACGGAGCAACGCCGCGUGAGUGAUGAAGGUCUUCGGAUCGUAAAACUCUGUUAUUAGUGAAGAACAAAUGUGUAAGUAACUAUGCACGUCUUGACGGUAACUAAUCAGAAAGCCACGGCUAACUACGUG
rnacentral:rRNA from 1 species